ensembl:snoRNA small nucleolar RNA, C/D box 114-1
UGGACCAAUGAUGACAACUGGUGGAGUAUGAAUCAUGGAAGAUGAAUACUAUGUGUCUGGAACUCUGAGGUCCAA